rnacentral:rRNA from 1 species
GACGAACGCUGGCGGCGUGCCUAAUACAUGCAAGUCGAACGCAGGUGCGGACGGGCGAGUAAUGUCUAGGAAUCUGCCUGGUAGCGGGGGAUAACGUUCGGAAAUGGGCGCUAAUAUCGCAUAUUAUCAGAUGGGCCUAGGUCGGAUUAGCUAGUAGGUGGGGUAAAGGCCUACCAAGGUGACGAUCCGUAACUGGUCUGAGAGGAUGAUCAGUCACACUGGAACUGAGACACGGUCCAGACUCCUACGGGAGGCAGCAGUGGGGAAUAUUGGACAAUGGGCGAAAGCCUGAUCCAGCCAUGCCGCGUGUGUGAAGAAGGUCUUCGGAUUGUAAAGCACUUUAAGCUGGGAGGCGUUACCAGCAGAAUAAGCACCGGCUAACUUCGUGCCAGCAGCCGCGGUAAUAC